rnacentral:pre_miRNA from 1 species
GAUUUCAACUGAAAAAGUCAUCAACAUCAAAGUUGUAUAACUCGUCAAUGUCUAUAACUUUUAUUUGGGUCAUUUCUUCAUCUGGUAAAAUAAUAGUAAUAUUGUUCACAAAAUUUACAUCUCUCUUAUAGUUUAUAAACUAUAUAAGAGAUAUUUACAUUUUAUGAGCAAUGUUACAAAUUACUUUGCCGGAUGAAGAAAUGACACAAAUAAAAUUUAUAGAUCUUGAUGAGUUAUACAACUUUGAUGUUGAUGACUUUUUCAGUUGAAAUC